rnacentral:rRNA from 10 species
GUCUACAGCCAUACCACACUGAAUAUGGGAUCUCGUCUGAUCUUAGAAGUUAAGCCGGGUCAGGCCUGGUUAGUAUUUGGAUGGAAGAUCAACUGGCAUUGAGCUGGGCGCCCAGUCU